CGUAGGUCCCGAGCGUUGUCCGGAUUUAUUGGGCGUAAAGCGAGCGCAGGCGGUUAGAUAAGUCUGAAGUUAAAGGCUGUGGCUUAACCAUAGUACGCUUUGGAAACUGUUUAACUUGAGUGCAAGAGGGGAGAGUGGAAUUCCAUGUGUAGCGGUGAAAUGCGUAGAUAUAUGGAGGAACACCGGUGGCGAAAGCGGCUCUCUGGCUUGUAACUGACGCUGAGGCUCGAAAGCGUGGGGGAGCAAACAGGAUU
rnacentral:rRNA from 1 species